rnacentral:rRNA from 1 species
UACGAAGGGGGCUAGCGUUGUUCGGAAUUACUGGGCGUAAAGCGCACGUAGGCGGCUUUGUAAGUAAGAGGUGAAAGCCCAGAGCUCAACUCUGGAAUUGCCUUUUAGACUGCAUCGCUUGAAUCAUGGAGAGGUCAGUGGAAUUCCGAGUGUAGAGGUGAAAUUCGUAGAUAUUCGCAAGAACACCAGUGGCGAAGGCGGCCAACUGGUCCGGUACUGACGCUGAGGUGCGAAAAGCGUGGGGAGCAAACAGGG